rnacentral:rRNA from 1 species
GACGAACGCUGGCGGCGUGCCUAAUACAUGCAAGUAGAACGCAGUUGCGAACGGGUGAGUAACGCGUAGGUAACUGCCUCAUAGCGGGGGAUAACUAUUGGAAACGAUAGCUAAUACCGCAUACUGUGAGAUGGAUCUGCGUUGUAUUAGCUAGGUGGUUAGGUAAAGGGUCACCAAGGCGACGAUCACUAGCCGGCCUGGGAGGGUUGUCGGCGAAAAUGGGAAUGAGAAAAGGCCCAAAGUCCUCCGGGAGGUAGCAGUAGGGAAUCUUUGGGAAUGGGCGGAAGUGUGAACGAGCAAAGGCGCGUGAGUGAAGAAGGGUUUCGGAUCGUUAAGCUCUGUUGUUAGAGGAGCGGUAACUAACCAGAAAGGGCCGGCUAACUACGUGCCAGCAGCCGCGGUAAUAC